UGUUGCUUCCUUUGGGCUCUAUCUCUAUGGUCCAGUUUUGCUUUUAGGUUACAUGAGAAGAAAUUUUCUUUUAUAUCUCAGUCACACUAGAGUAAAAAGAGGACAGCGUCUAGGAAAUAAUUAUAUGGAUUGACGGUUGAGGAUGCAUAGCCCACAACCUCUGGGGGACCAAUUUUGAUUGAAAUGCAGUAGCAAAGGUCACCAGCUGGUGGCUGACCUGACUCUAAACAGUCGCAGACUCAAACAGAGGGCAAAGGUUUGCAAAUAAGUACCACCUAACUUAUGAACACAGAUGGAUUCUCACCAAACUGCAGUAAGUCUGUCUCUUUCCAAUAGAGGACUUGACUCACCUGUUUGCCUAAGGGUUUUGUUCUGGGUUCCUAUAUAAAAGCAAGGCUGACUGGACUCUGCAUUAUUUUUGCAAGCAUUGAGGUGAUGAGGCUUAAAGCCCCUAGGGUCAGUAGCCUGAAUGUUGUUAUGGUCUUGAAGAAGAACGCCAAAUCAGACUGUACAAAUGCAUCCUUGAAGAAUUUACAGAAUCAGUCAGAUCCAAACAUAACAUACACCUGCAAAGACGUGGCUGAACAUCGGGUUGAGCAAUGCGGGUCCCAACCAAAGAUAAGGUGUGGAGCCUGCUGGUGAACAUGUCUGAUUAUAUCAGACACAACACAGUACCACUGAGUAUUUUUGUACAUGUGAAAUAUAUUUGUCUAAUCAACAUCUCUAAUACUGCUGCUAUC